AUUUGCCGAGAUGAAAGCCUAAAACAGAAAUCGGAGAAUUAUAGUUCGCAAAAUUCUUGUCCCCUGUAGUCUUUCUAAACUUGGGGGAAAUGCAUCAAGACUAUAACUCUGUCAAAUUGAAGGGAAUGGCAUGAAAGAAGAAAGACGGAAUUGCGUGGUACAUUCAAAUGGAGGAUCAGUUUUUAUAAAGAGUCCAGAUGAAAAUCGCAACUGUACAGCAAUGAGUAAUUACCCUGGUAAAAGGUCUAUUACUGUGCAGAAAAUUCUGUGGUGCCAAUUGGGUA